rnacentral:rRNA from 1 species
AUUGAACGCUGCGGCAGGCUUAACACAUGCAAGUCGAGCGAGCGGCGGACGGGUGAGUAAUGCUUAGGAAUCUGCCUAUUAGUGGGGGACACCAUCUCGAAAGGGAUGCUAAUACCGCAUACUUAUAGAUGAGCCUAAGUCGGAUGAGCUAGUUGGUGGGGCAAAGGCCUACCAAGGCGACGAUCUGUAGCGGGGCUGAGAGGAUGAUCCGCCAAACUGGGACUGAGACACGGGCCAGACUCCUACGGGAGGCAGCAGUGGGGAAAAUGGGGCAAUGGGGGGAACCCUGGUCCAGCCAUGGCGCGUGUGUGAAGAAGGCCUUAUGGUUGUAAAGCACGUUAAGCGAGGAGGCGUUACUCGCAGAAUAAGCACCGGCUAACUCUGUGCCAGCAGCCGCGGUAAUUC